CCUACGGGAGGCAGCAGUGAGGAAUAUUGGUCAAUGGACGGAAGUCUGAACCAGCCAAGUCGCGUGAAGGAAGACGGCUCUAUGGGUUGUAAACUGCUUUUGUACAAGGGUAAACCUGAAUACGUGUAUUCAGCUGAAUGUACUGUACGAAUAAGGAUCGGCUAACUCCGUGCCAGCAGCCGCGGUAAUACGGAGGAUCCAAGCGUUAUCCGGAUUUAUUGGGUUUAAAGGGUGCGUAGGCGGAUUGAUAAGUUAGUGGUGAAAUUUCCGGGCUUAACCCGGGAACUGCCUCUGAUACUGGUGAUCUAGAGUUUAGAUGCGGUAGGCGGAAUGGAUGGUGUAGCGGUGAAAUGCUUAGAGAUCAUACAGAACACCGAUUGCGAAGGCAGCUUACCAAUCUAUAUCUGACGUUGAGGCACGAAAGCGUGGGGAGCAAACAGGAUUAGAUACCCCUGUAGUC
rnacentral:rRNA from 1 species